rnacentral:rRNA from 1 species
GACGAACGCUGGCGGCGUGCCUAAUACAUGCAAGUCGAGCGAAGUUUUUUUGGUGCUUGCUCCUGACAAACUUAGCGGCGAACGGGUGAGUAACACGUAAAGAACCUGCCUCAUAGACUGGGACAACAAUUGGAAACGAUAGCUAAUACCGGAUAACAGUAUUUCUCGCAUGAGAGGUAUUUAAAAGUUGGUUAUGCUAACACUAUCUGAUGGUUUUGCGGUGCAUUAGCUGGUUGGUGGGGUAAAGGCCCACCAAGGCGUGGAUGGAUAGCGGACCUGAGGGAGUGACGGCCAACACGGGAACGGAGCCACGGCCCAGACUCCUACGGAGGGAGGCAGUGGGGAAUCUUCCGCAAUGAGCGAAGGCCUACCGAGGCAACGCGGGUGGAUGGAAGAAGCAUUCCGGUUGGUAAGGCUCGGUUGUCGGGAAGAAAGGGAUAUUUGGUAACAGUACGAGUAAUAGACGGUACCGAAAUAGAAAGCCACGGCUAACUACGUG